rnacentral:rRNA from 1 species
GCGUGAGUGAAGAAGGCCUUAGGGUUGUAAAGCUCUUUCGGCGGGGAAGAUGAUGACGGUACCCGCAGAAGAAGCCCCGGCUAACUUCGUGCCAGCAGCCGCGGUAAUACGAAGGGGGCUAGCGUUGUUCGGAAUCACUGGGCGUAAAGGGCGCGUAGGCGGCUUGGCAAGUCAGGUGUGAAAGGCCUGGGCUCAACCCAGGAACUGCACUUGAGACUGCCUCGCUUGAGUCCGGGAGAGGAUGGCGGAAUUCCCAGUGUAGAGGUGAAAUUCGU